rnacentral:rRNA from 1 species
CCUACGGGUGGCAGCAGUCGAGAAUCAUUCACAAUGGAGGAAACCCUGAUGGUGCGACGCCGCGUGGGUGAAUGAAGGUCUUGGGAUUGUAAACUCUUGAAAUGUGGGAGAAAAUUAAGAAGAUAGUACCACAAGAAGAAGAGACGACUAACUCUGUGGCAGCAGCCGCGGUACUACGGAGGUCGCAAGCGUUGGGCGGAAUCACGGGGCGUAAAGGGUGCGUAGGCUGUUUGGUAAGUUGGGUGUGAAAGGCGCGGGCUCAACCCGCGGACGGCACAUGAUACUGCGAGGCUAGAGUAAUGGAGGGGGAACCGGAAUUCUCGGUGUAGCAGUGAAAUGCGUAGAUAUCGAGAGGAACACUCGUGGCGAAGGCGAGUUCCUGGACAUUAACUGACGCUGAGGCACGAAGGCCAGGGGAGCGAACGGGAUUAGAUACCCGAGUAGUC